rnacentral:rRNA from 1 species
GACGAACGCUGGCGGCGUGCUUAACACAUGCAAGUCGAACGAUGAAGCUGGAGCUUGCUCCGGUGGAUUAGUGGCGAACGGGUGAGUAACACGUGAGCAAUCUGCCCUUGACUCUGGGAUAACUGCGGGAAACUGUAGCUAAUACCGGAUAUGAGGCUUGGAGGCAUCUCCAGGUCUGGUAAGAAUUUCGGUCAAGGAUGAGCUCGCGGCCUAUCAGCUAGUUGGUGAGGUAAUGGAUCACCAAGGCGACGACGGGUAGCCGGCCUGAGAGGGUGACCGGCCAGACUGGGACUGAGACACGGCCCAGACGCCUACGGGAGGCAGCAGUGGGGAAUAUUGCACAAUGGGCGAAAGCCUGAUGCAGCAACGCCGCGUGAGGGAUGAAGGCCUUCGGGUUGUAAACCUCUUUUAGCAGGGAAGAAGCGAAAGUGACGGUACCUGCAGAAAAAGCACCGGCUAACUACGUGCCAGCAGCCGCAGUAA